rnacentral:lncRNA from 1 species
AAAAAAGCAAAAAUAAUGUUUAUAAUAUGCAUGCUUUUAUAUAAAUAAAAUACAUUUAUACGUUAUAUACUAAUAAAACAAGAAACAACAACAAAAUUACUAUUAUCCUAAAAAGAGAAAAAAGAGAAAAAAAAAAAAAAAAAAAAUCAACAACAACAACAACAACAAUGAGCGUUUAUAAUUUUUAUCAAAAUCUAAUCCCCAGCCAAUCGAUAAGAACUGCUUUAUGUUGUGAUAUAAAAGGUAAUGGGAAAAAGUAUUUAAUAUACGCAAAUAAUAAUUCAUUAAAUGUUUGUUCUGUUGAUAAGGAUGGCUAUACAGAUGAUCAUAGUAAACAUUUCAUUUUUUCUGAUAUACUAGAGAUAAGAGAAUAUAAACCACGAAAAUUAAUUGAUACAAAUAAAAAUAAAAAUAUUAAAUCUUAUAUAUUUUUAUUAACAAAAGAAUAUAAAUUAUUAUUAUUAGAAUUUAAUACAAAAUUAAAUGAAUUUAUUACAUUAUCUAAAACAAAUUUACGAGAUGUAAUUGGAUUACAUAUAGAUGAAGAAAUAAUUUUUUUAUUAAAUGAAAAAAAUAGUGCAAUUGUAUUUUAUGCAUAUAAAAAUAUAAUGAAAUAUAUUUUAUUAGACUAUGACGAUUAUUUUAAUUUAAAUCAUUUAUAUACAGUUAGGUUGGAAGAUGGUUAUGUUAUAGACAUAAUAUUUUUAAAUUAUUACGAUGAAGAAAAUGAAGAAAAUGAAGAAAAUGGAGAAAAUGAAGAAAAUGAAGAAAAUGGAGAAAAUGGAGAAAAUGGAGAAAAUAAAGGAAAUGGAGAAAAUGGAGAAAAUAAAGAAAAUAAAAAAAAUAAAGAAAAUAAAAAAAAUAAAGAAAAUAAAAAAAAUAAAGAAAAUAAAGAAAAUAAAAAAAAUAAAGAAAAUAAAAAAAAUAAAGAAAAAUAUGGAGCAGAUUAUUGUUUAUGUAAUAACAGUAAUGUUAAUGUUAGUAGUGGAAAUUAUAUGUACAAUGGUCAUAUGUAUUAUCCUAGUAACGAGUUGGAUGUUAAGGAAAGUACAAAAAAACAAAAAAAUAAAAAAUCACAUUCUUUUAUUAAUUCACCAAUGAAUAAUAAUAAUAAUAAAAAUUAUCCUAUUUGUAUUGAUGACAAUAAUAAUGCAAGUUCUAUUGUAAAUAAAAAAAAUAUUAACAAUAAUAACAAUAAUAAUAACAAUAAUAAUAACAAUAAUAAUAAUAUUAUAUAUAACAAUAUAAAUAAUAAAAAAACGUACGAUUUUGAAAAUAUGCAAAUUGAACAAACAUAUAAUGAUGAUAGUACAUCUAUAAAAAACAUGACUAAAAAUAAAUACGAUAAAUUAAUUAAUGUAAGUAGUAAUAGUGUAAGUAGUAAUAAUGUAAGUAGUAAUAAUGUAAGUAGUAAUAAUGUAAGUAGUAAUAGUUAUGUAAACAAAGACAAAAAUUAUAACCAUAUUAAUACGAUAAACAAUAAAAAUACAUUUAAUGAACAUUCAGUUAUACCUAAAGUAUUUGAAACGCACGAGGAUGAUAUUUUUAAUAUGAUGUUGGAUGGAUAUAAAGAUAAUAAUCCGUAUGAGAAAAAGCAAAAUUUAAAAAAAGAAAAGAAAAAAAUAAAAAAAAUAUUUGAAAAAAAACUAAAAGAACAUUGUGAUAGUAUGUAUUUACAUAACAACAAUACUAAUACUUAUCGUAAUAGUUAUAAAAUAAAUUCAGAAGAAAAAUUUAAAAAUAAGAAAUGGAAUGAAAGUAGUGAAAAUUGUUCUAACAUUUCUUUAUGUUUUUAUAAUUUAAAAAAUAUUUUAUUUGAUGAAAAAAAAUAUGUAAAAAAAAUAUAUUAUGAAAAAAAAAAAUAUAUUAUUAACUAAUAGAAGAAAAGUUAAUAUAUGUCCUAGUCCAAUAAAAUUUAAAAAAUUUGAUAAUAUAUUUUCUGA